GAUGAACGCUGGCGGCGUGCUUAACACAUGCAAGUCGAACGAAGCACUUUAUUUGAUUUCCUUCGGGACUGAUUAUUUUGUGACUGAGUGGCGGACGGGUGAGUAACGCGUGGGUAACCUGCCUUGUACAGGGGGAUAACAGUUGGAAACGGCUGCUAAUACCGCAUAAGCGCACAGCAUCGCAUGAUGCAGUGUGAAAAACUCCGGUGGUAUAAGAUGGACCUGCGUUGGAUUAGCUAGUAGGUGAGGUAACGGCCCACCAAGGCGACGAUCCAUAGCCGACCUGAGAGGGUGACCGGCCACAUUGGGACUGAGACACGGCCCAAACUCCUACGGGAGGCAGCAGUGGGGAAUAUUGCACAAUGGGCGAAAGCCUGAUGCAGCGACGCCGCGUGAGCGAAGAAGUAUUUCGGUAUGUAAAGCUCUAUCAGCAGGGAAGAUAAUGACGGUACCUGACUAAGAAGCACCGGCUAAAUACGUG
rnacentral:rRNA from 1 species